CCCACCCACAUUUAUAAAUAUAUUUGAGAGAUUUGCUUUCAACUUAAAAUCAUUAAGCAUCCAGUAUAAUAGGCCUAUAGUUCAUUAAUAUAUUUUUCAUCAUGGAGAGAUGUGCUCUACUAAUUCUUAUAACAGUACCAGGUAUAUUUGCUGACAGCAUUGAAUCAAGAGACAAGGACAAUGUAAUUCGUAAAGAAGGAGAGUCUGUGACACUGAGCUGCACUUAUGAUACAAGCAGCAACUAUAUUUUGCUUUACUGGUACAGACAGUAUCCUGAUAGAGAACCACAGUUUAUACUGAGAAAAGGUGCUCGAUCAUACAGCAGCUCUGAUAUACCAGACCGUCGCUUUCAGUCGUCUACAUCCCAAACAUCCACUGAUCUCACUAUUAAGAGUGUCACUCUGUCAGAUUCAGCUCUCUAUUACUGUGCUCUGAGAGUAGGAGCCCAGUGA